UUUUUUUUCGCCUGGUUACAGGCAGCUGAUGUGUUGUGCAUUGAAGUCCACAAGCGAAGGGAAAAGCUAAGUCCCCUCCUGUUCCCUGACUAAGCCAUGAUGGCCCUCUCCACUCCACUACCAGUGUCAACACUCCCCUGACAGGAACUGAAACCCUGUCUCAUGUGCCCUCUCAUCCACUGGUGCAUUGAAUGUUUCAUCUCCAUGCACUUCAAAUCCUGUCCUGCCCUCAGUGGAAGAGUUGAGCUCUUCUCCAACACCAUCCAUCCAUGAUGAGCACUGAAGCCUCUGAACACCUCAACCCCUGUUCUGGACUGAAGUCAAGCCUCCGAACACACACCAACUCAUACUCUCAUUCAAUCACUGCUGUGAUAUCUUCCUAACACUAAGUAGCCAUCUCAUUGCCCAUAAUAUUUUAAUAUACAUGUCUUUAUUCAAUGUUUUAGGUUAAAAUCAUUUAUUUUUUUAAACCGCGCAUUAUCACUUCCGUUGCGGUCUGCAUCUAUACCGUGGGUCUCUCAUUCACCUCCAUUUUUUAAAUCACUAGCCUCCGCUUAUGGUGUUCUAGCUAUUCAGUUUUCACACUUUGUUAAUGUUUGUUUAUUCCAUUGCUAUGGUCACUGGCAGCAGUCCAACACAAUAUUCACAUCAUGACACAUA